rnacentral:rRNA from 1 species
AUUGAACGCUGGCGGCAUGCCUUACACAUGCAAGUCGAACGGCAGCACGGAGCUUGCUCUGGUGGCGAGUGGCGAACGGGUGAGUAAUAUAUCGGAACGUACCCUAGAGUGGGGGAUAACGUAGCGAAAGUUACGCUAAUACCGCAUACGAUCUAAGGAUGAAAGUGGGGGAUCGCAAGACCUCAUGCUCGUGGAGCGGCCGAUAUCUGAUUAGCUAGUUGGUAGGGUAAAAGCCUACCAAGGCAUCGAUCAGUAGCUGGUCUGAGAGGACGACCAGCCACACUGGAACUGAGACACGGUCCAGACUCCUACGGGAGGCAGCAGUGGGGAAUUUUGGACAAUGGGCGAAAGCCUGAUCCAGCAAUGCCGCGUGAGUGAAGAAGGCCUUCGGGUUGUAAAGCUCUUUUGUCAGGGAAGAAACGGUGGGAGCUAAUAUCUCUUGCUAAUGACGGUACCUGAAGAAUAAGCACCGGCUAACUACGUGCCAGCAGCCGCGGUAAUACGUAGGGUGCAAGCGUUAAUCGGAAUUACUGGGCGUAAAGCGUGCGCAGGCGGUUUUGUAGGUCUGAUGUGAAAUCCCCGGGCUCAACCUGGGAAUUGCAUUGGAGACUGCAAGGCUAGAAUCUGGCAGAGGGGGGUAGAAUUCCACGUGUAGCAGUGAAAUGCGUAGAUAUGUGGAGGAACACCGAUGGCGAAGGCAGCCCCCUGGGUCAAGAUUGACGCUCAUGCACGAAAGCGUGGGGAGCAAACAGGAUUAGAUACCCUGGUAGUCCACGCCCUAAACGAUGUCUACUAGUUGUCGGGUCUUAAUUGACUUGGUAACGCAGCUAACGCGUGAAGUAGACCGCCUGGGGAGUACGGUCGCAAGAUUAAAACUCAAAGGAAUUGACGGGGACCCGCACAAGCGGUGGAUGAUGUGGAUUAAUUCGAUGCAACGCGAAAAACCUUACCUACCCUUGACAUGGCUGGAAUCCUUGAGAGAUCAGGGAGUGCUCGAAAGAGAACCAGUACACAGGUGCUGCAUGGCUGUCGUCAGCUCGUGUCGUGAGAUGUUGGGUUAAGUCCCGCAACGAGCGCAACCCUUGUCAUUAGUUGCUACGAAAGGGCACUCUAAUGAGACUGCCGGUGACAAACCGGAGGAAGGUGGGGAUGACGUCAAGUCCUCAUGGCCCUUAUGGGUAGGGCUUCACACGUCAUACAAUGGUACAUACAGAGCGCCGCCAACCCGCGAGGGGGAGCUAAUCGCAGAAAGUGUAUCGUAGUCCGGAUUGUAGUCUGCAACCCGACUGUAUGAAGUUGGAAUCGCUAGUAAUCGCGGAUCAGCAUGUCGCGGUGAAUACGUUCCCGGGUCU